UACGGAGGGUGCGAGCGUUGUCCGGAAUCAUUGGGCGUAAAGGGCGCGUAGGUGGCGCGGCAAGCGUGCGGUGAAAGCUCGGGGCUCAACCCCGAGUCGGCCGUGCGAACUGCUGUGCUUGAGCACUGUAGAGGCAGGCGGAAUUCCGGGUGUGAGCGGUGGAAUGCGUAGAGAUCCGGAAGAACACCGGUGGCGAAGGCGGCCUGCUGGGCAGUGGCUGACACUGAGGCGCGACAGCGUGGGGAGCAAACAGG
rnacentral:rRNA from 1 species